rnacentral:lncRNA from 1 species
AUAUCCGCCAUGUCUUUCUAUGCUUUCCUUAAUUGCUUCUCUGCCUUGUUCUAUCAAUGAAGGCUUAUCAGUACUGCUUCGAAAAUUAUAGGCUUUAGGCUGUUCUUCAGCCGCCAACUUUACCAUAAAAAACUCAACAAACAAGCGAGCCCCAGAGCUCGAAAUCAAGAACAAAGCAAACAGUGAAAUACAGAACAAUACUUUGAAACUAGCCAUUUCAGACCUCUAAUCUGCGUUACUGAUAUUCUGCAUGAAUGCUUCAAGGGUGGGUCCUAUUUAUAGCCCUAAUUUGUCCACCACUUUCUGUAUGAUAAUAAAUAAAUGAAGUUAUUUGGUCGGAUUAAACCUUACUUAGGCGUUGCAACAAUAUCAAAUCGGGUGAGUUGGAAUCAUUAAUAAAAAGUUGUCUGAUGUGGAUCCCCUUGAUUCCUUGGGUUUUAAUAUCUAUCGAGUUCAAUUUUUUAUCAGUAGCUUACUACGUACGAGACUCCAUUUCAAUGGGUGCUCAAUCGAAACUCCACUUAUUCUUUUCCCUUCUGAUAAAAGAGAGAAAAAUAAAUAAACCAACAGCUACACCCAGCACCAUUCUUACCUCAUGUAUAUAUAUCAUCAUGCAGUACUUGAAGUAUCACUGCCGGAGGAUAAAAAGAUAAACUGGGAACACUAAUAAUUUAUAGACACUUUGAAUCAAAGCAAUUUUCGGGCAUAGACCAGUUAGCAUUAGCAGUUGCAGAUAACAACCCCCCGAAUCAGCCACUAUUGAGUCCAAGCGUGCAUUGGUUGAAGAAGGAAGGGAAGCCAUUAAAGCAAGCAUUGCAAUAAAUGGAGGACUUCCAUACGAGACAAAACGGAGAAGUCCAAGGGGACCUGAUCUUCAUCAUCAUUAAUAAUUGUAAAAAUAUAACAUUGGUAAUGACAAUGUAUCGUAAAGAAAAAUAUGAAGAAAAAUAAAAAAUACACAGAUUUUACAUGAAAAUCCUUUCGAAAAAAAAACACGAGCAGAAGAAAAGAUAAUUCACUAUGACGAAUUUGAAUAAUUACAAGAGGAAUAAAUUCGAGUCACUUAAUGCUAAAACAAAAGUUCAUCUUGGAUUAGUGUGGCAUUAAUUGUAUCUUCAAAGUCGGUAAUAUGCUUUGGCAAAGCUGAAAUAACAUGGUUAAUGUUCACCUUCUUUCAUAAACUUUAGUAGAAAAGAAAAUAUUAUCUUUCCAAUACAAUCGUGUCCCAUUUGACCAUACUUAAAAUAUCCUGGAAAAAGCUUCAUCUGAUCUGGAUCCCAAAGAAGAAAAAAGAAAAAAGAAUCAUCUUUCCAAUAAAAUGGUGUCCCAUUUGACCAAGCAUAAAAUAUCCUGGAAAAAGAUGCAACCCUAUUCAUGCACCCCAACCUAUUGGGUGUCUAAAGAAAUUAGGAUAAAUUAUGAAAAUAGUCACUUUUAUUUGUAUUGAAUUAUAAUUUUAUAGUUUAUUCAACAAAUUAAUUACAUCUAGCAGAGUAAAAAGUUCCAUUACAGCCCAAGUCAUUGUUAUCUUUCCAAAUCUCUAAACCUCAUGGGACAAUAUUUUUUUAUUUUUGUUUAAAGUUUUCUAUAUUUGGUAAUUAUAUUGGAUUAUUAAAGAAGAAAAGGUCAUCUUCAUGACUAGUGACAGAACUUCACAAUCAUUGAGCAAUAGAGUGAGAUGUUACUUCAUUGCCACUGAAUUAAUUUUUUAGUCAAAUGGGAUAACUUAUUUUAUUCAAUGGAUACCUUCUUCUUUACAUUUUCUUCUUCUCUUUGGGUAUAAAAUUUCAGUGCUUUCAUUAACCAUAUUCAACAAUCGUCCCCUUCUAAUCAAAUGACGAAAUCUCAAAAAGGCAAUGAGGUCUAUUGGUCGGUUUGUUUAGCGGAGGAUACACUUAAAGCCCCACUUGAUCAUGUUUUGUUCGUAACCUGUUGGAUUUGAGGAAUGAAUAUGAACCACAAAGUUUAGGGUUACAAUAUUUCAUAAUUAAAAACAAUCCUUUCCUUAUUACCGCUAAAGAAUUGCGCCGAUUGUCGAGUAGUUGGAAAAGGUUUGAUGGAUUCAAAUGGGUUUAAUAUUAAUGAGCAUUAAUCUUCAUAUAUAACAUUCCAAGGUCCAUAGUGUUUGUGAUAAUAACAGUGCACCAACAAAAUUUUUUGGAGAGUCGAAAUUAAAUUGUAUAUUUUUACUAUCGUAAAAAUAUAAAUUUAUCAUUUUAAUACUAUAUAUCUUUAUAACUUUUAAAUGAUUAAAUUAAUUUUUUAUUAUUUUAAGGGCCAAAGUACAAUUUUACCAUUACUAAUUUAAAAUUUUAUAAAUUAUGAAUGGACUAAAUAAAGAAUUUUCCAUUUUAGGCUCUGCAUAAAUCAACAUGUGAUGACAUGAUUAUAUUAUCACUAAGAGUUGGUGAAUUGAGAAAUGUUAAACAUGAAAAUUUUAUGUAAAGUUGUUCAUAAGCCGAAUCGAAUCAAGAAUUGAUUUUAAAUUAAAUUUUAUGUUUAAAAUUAUUUUCGAGCUGGCUUGAUUUGUCAAAAAAAUAAUUAAUUUCAUCAACAUAACCUUUAAAAAAACCCAAUGAAACCAAAACAAUCCUAACUCCAAGAAAAAUUGUAAUUGAUCAGAAAAAGAAAAAGUAGAAAUAAAAGUCAGAGUUAGGGUUAGAGGUGAUCAUGGAUUGGGCUACCCGGUUCGGCCCAACAGUCUGCUCGAAAAAUGGGAGGGUUCUGGUAAAAAUAUAGGCCUGAAAUAUAGGUUUGGGCAAAAAAUUGAGGCCCAUUUAGAAAAUGGGCCAAGCCUCGGGUAAGACUUGUUGGCCCGACCUAACCCGGCCCGAAUUAUAUAUUAAAUAUAUAUUUUUAUUUUUGUUUUUAAUCAAAUAUAGUUUUUAUUAAAUAUAUAAUUUUUGAAAUUUUAAUCCGAAUUAUAUAUUAAAUAUAUUUAAUUUUUUAAUUUUUAAUCAAAUAUGGGCCGGAUCAGGUUCAAACCUAGAAAAAUGGGCUAAAAUUUUGUCUUAAUCUGACUCGAUCUAACCCAUGAUCACCUCUAGGUAGGCUUGGGUGGCUUUCUAAAUCACCUCUCCAAUUUUCUUAGCUUUCAAUGGGAAUGAUUUGGAUAUAACUAGGUAAGUUAAAAGAAAAGACAACCUAACCUUGUUAUGGUGUUUGACUGAAACUUUAAUAUCUUAUUUGUUAAUCAUCUACAACAAUAUUAAAAUAAAUUCAUAAAAUAACAUCUUUUUAUUUUUAUUUUAAAUUUCAGAAUUUGAGUAAAAGUUAUCACUCCAUUAAUUUUUUUUUAAAAUGAUUUCAUAUAUAUAAAAAAGAAAAUUUUAAUUUCAUCAACAUAUCCUUUAAAAAAACUCAGUGAAAUCAAAGCAAUAUUCCAACAUCAAAAGCAACUCCAAGAAAAAUUGUAAUUGAUUAUAAAAAGAAAAAGUACAAGUAAAAGGUGAGAGUUAGGGGUAGGUGGCUUGCUUAUGUCACAAACUUAAGUAUGUUUAUGUCACAACCUAAAUCAUGGUUUUAAAUAAUAAUAAAAAAAGUAGUUUUUCAAAUCAAAUUUUGAUUUUAAGUUAGGGAUAAGUUAAAUGGUCAAAAUUUUUAACUUUUGAAAAAGUAUUUUUUAAUAAAAUUAUUUUUUUAUCCCCUCGUUAAAGCUUUUACUUUACAAGAUCAAGUCUAGGAUAGGUAUUUUAUUUUCUUAUAAGUAUUUAUGGACAACCAUGAUAAACAUUAUCAAAAUUUUUAAAAGUAUUUUUCAACCUCAAUGGUAAACUAGCUCUUAAAAAUUUUGGGAGGCACAAGUGAUACAAAUAAAGAAAAGCCCAAUUAUUACUACGGUGUAUGUUUUUUGGCAUAAUGAUAAAUUUAACUCUUAUUGUUUAUAUUUUUUUGUCAAUUUGAUCAUUAUUCAUUUUUUAGUUAAAUUUGACACUUAACCCUUUUAAAAAGAGCCAAAUUUAACCAUCAACUUUUCAGAAAGAGUUGAAUGAAAGGCAUUGCUUUAUUAUUAUUAUGGAGUUUAUACUCAACUGUCGCUAAAGAUUUAACACUUGAAUAACUAAAAUGAAAACGCCCUGAAAAUUAGGUGAUAAAAUUGUGAAGAUUUCAUUUUGGACACCCAAACCAUAAAAAUUAAGCAAACGAUCGAGAGUUUACCGUAAUUUUAGUUUUGAUUACUUUAUGGUUGUUAAUUAAUUAGACUUUAGGAAUACAUAUUUAAAUUAAUUUAUGGUUGACAAUAUAGACUUCAUUUUGAUAAUUAAUUACAUUGUAACUCAUUACCAUUAUCUUUUUCUAUUAUCAAAAUAACUAUAAGGUCCAAUUACAAAUGAAACUCUUCUUUUCUUCUAGUCAAAUGUAGGUUAUCCAUCCUUCUUCUUUAACCUCUCAUGUUGUGGAUUGUCCAUUCAACACCACAUCCCACACCAUACAAAGUAGACUUAAUUUGCCACCUGUACUGUUAACAUCUUGAACCAGGAGUUGCCUGAUACCAAAUUACCAUUCCAACAUAUUCCACAACAUGUAUUUAACAAUAGUUACUAAUUUUGAGUACUGUAAGAGUGCUAAAACCUCAAUCACUCGUGACUAACUUUCAAAUCUGAUUUGUACUUUGAUUGGCAAUGUUGUCUUUUUAAAAUAAUUUUUAAUUUUUUUAGAAAAGAGACCAUCUUAUGAGUUCAAACACAUUUAGCUAAAAAAAACACUGACAACACCUUUUAUACUAACUAAAAACUCCCAAGUUUUUCUCAAGUAAAAUUUUUUUUAACAUUAUUGAUUUUUUUUAAUUUACAUUUAAAAUUUGAUCGCCACAAUCGUGAAAGUGUGAUGAGUUCAGGAGAUGGAGUAAUAGAUAUACAAUAAUAAUAUAAUAGAGUUACUUAUGAACUAAGGAUUACAUAUUACGUAUAUGUGGAAUAAUAGCAUGUAGUGGCGGAGUGUAGUAGAGAAUCAGGGGUUAUGGUCCCUUAAAAUGAUAAAUUUUUAAUUUAGGCCUUUUAUAAUUUAUAGAAUUUUAAAUUAGUAAUAAUAAAAUUAUACUUUGGCCUCUCAAAAAUGAUAAAAAAAUUAAUUUAACCCUUAUAAAAAUAUAGACUAUUAAAAUGAUGAAAUUAUAAUUUUACUAUCAUAAAAAUAUACAAUUUAAUUUCAAUCCCUAAAAGAUUUCAAGCUCUGCCACUAUGUGAAUUUCGAGCUAAAAGUGCUAAUAUGAUGUUGUCAUACAUGAAUUUUUUUUUUUAGAAAAAAAAGAAAGAAAGUUGAUGUGAAAGUGGGAAAAGAAAAAUAAUAAAAAAAAUAUUGUUAAUAAAUAUGUUAGAUUGUUGUUAGACAAUUAACGAUAGAUCGCUUUAGCGCACUCAAACCCGUGUCUUCUUGCACUAGCAACAAUGCUAAUGCCAACUGAACUAAGACUCAAUCGGCAUUAGUUAUAUUUAACUCAAUCAAAUCCAUCACUUGAUUUACUUUUAUUGCAUUUUAUAACAAUUUCUACGUUUGUCAACAAAGUCAUCCACCCAUGGCAGAAAGCUCUUUUGCUUCCAUUACUGUUAUACAUUUCAUCCGAAUGCUCAAAUUCACUGCUUACAGUGACAAUAGAUCGCCUCGCCACCUGGGUUAACACGGAAGAGAAAACAUGAAAGCAAAGAUGUUAUUACAGGAUGUUUUCCAAAGACGAUAAUGGCUCUAGACUGACAAUUUCCAAACAAAGUUAUCAUGAACCAAGUACCAAACGUUUUAUAUAUAUUUUUAUUUGUUUUUCCAUUGUUUAAUACGUCUUCACUUUUAGAGUUAGUUUUGUUGUCGUCCCCUCUAGUUUGAUGAAUGAUUAGUUCUUUUGCCGAUUUAUACUCGUCGCUUUCUGGGAUUGAUUUCCUUAUUGUAUUAAGUGCUUGCAAUCACUCUUGAUAUAUCGUGCUUGAGUUGUGACAAAGUAUAUUAUCAACGUGUCAUAAUAUUCUAUUGAUGUUGAAAUUAAACCUUUUGUUGUGUUGAUGGAGCUUAUCCUUUAGCUUGUACAACGGAUGUUUAUUGUUUUUCCCUUGAAUUGUAUGAUUUUAUUCAUUUCAUGAAUUAAUUUUUAAUAUAAAUAUGUAAUAUUUAUGAAAAUAUUUUCAUAAAAUAAAUAACUAUAAUUUAUUUUUUUAAGUAAUAUCAUAUAAUUAUAUUAGUUAUUAAUGCUUAUUCUAUUUGUUCAAUUAUAGAUUUAGGUAUUUUAGAUUCAAAUUUUUUGAACUCGAAAUGAUUGAGUUAGAAAUUUUUUAUUUAUAAAAUUAACUCAAAAAUAUUCUUAUAUCAAUGGAAAUUAUAAGUACAGCACGGAGUAUAAACUGUAAAAAUACCAGACAAAUGAAGAAACACAAACUCUUCUCAUGAUUAGAAUGGUAAAAGCUUGGAAAAAUAGGAUAUUUGUUUAGAAUAAGGGUGAGUUUGGAUGGGCGGUGCGUUUACUUGCGGUUAAUGUAAAAACAACAGUGGUAGUGAAGUUAAAUACUGUAGCAUGAGACAAAAAGUAAGUUAACGCACCACACCGCACCCAAUCGCUCGUCCAAACCCACCUUAAAUGUGGUAAAUUUGGAAAGAUUGUGAGAUCCAUAACACCUCAAAUUAUUUAUUUUUUCUAAUCUCUGAAUCUGACAGGUCUGAAACACUUUAACAUACUUUCCAACCACAGUGGUAGUUUCAAGCUUUGCAUGAUCACAUCGGUCUAAUUUCUUUCCAUUGUUUAAUAUUUGUUGGAUGGAUGGUGACUCAUACAUGUUAAAGAGGAUGUGGUCUCCGGCCGGGACAUGGUCGAGGCCUCAUCGCGAACGGAUAUCCGCCAUGUCUUUCUAUGCUUUCCCUAAUUGCUUCUCUGCCUUGUUCUAUCAAUGAAGGCUUAUCAGUACUGCUUCGAAAAUUAUAGGUUUUAGCCUGUUCUUCAGCCACCAACUUUACCAUAAAAAACUCAACAAACAAGCGAGCCCCAGAGCUCCAAAUCAAGAACAAAGCAAACAGUGAAAUACAGAACAAUACGUUGAAACUAGCCAUUUCAGACCUCUAAUCUGCGUUACUGAUAUUCUGCAUGAAUAUGCUUCAAUGCGGGGUCCUAUUUAUAGCCCUUUGUCCAC